GUUUUAUUUCUUUUUGCUUUUUGUAGAAAAAAGAGGGCCUCCAUAAACUCAUCUGAGCAUGAGGUGGCACCAGACAGCAGUGAGCAGCAUCCACCCAAUCAGAGACAAUCAGAGGACCAGGACAAUGUUCAUUAUGUUGCAGUGAACUUCUCUCUGAACCAGGAAGAUCCAAUUUACUGCAACACUGGAGCAGCUCAGCACCACAGACACAAGGAACAAAUGUUUACAGAGUACGCUGCGGUCAAAUACUCCGACAAGGACCGAAGAACUGAACUUCAAGGAACUGAAGAGGAUCCAGCUCUCCUGUACAGCACAGUCAACAAACCACAGCGAUCAUAAACACCUUCAUCUCCAGUCUGUCCUUUUUGUCAGUCACAGAAUCAAAAGGAAUUGGAUCUGUUAAUAAAUGUACAAAUGCAUAAAGAGGGAGGAGUCACCAGUUUUGUUUUGUUUUGUUUUGUUUUGUUUUAGACCUUUGUUCAAUUUAUGGAGAUUUACAAAGUAUUACAAAACACUUACCCUAAACUCACCUAACAUAAAUAUACCCAUCUGUACUUAAUAACCGUAUAGAGAUUUCCGCACCCGUAUGUUUUACGUACACCUACUUACAAAAAUAUACAUACAAUUGCCUGUGUUCACAAUAGUGAAUAAAAAUAAAAUAUAAUAUCUGUGUAUAUAUAUAUAUACUCACACAUAUAAAUAUACACAAACACAUAUGUCUACAAUAACAAAUACAUACACGCUUACACUAACACACAUACUUGUCUACAUAUAGUAUAUACACAUACACACAUAUAUACACAUAUACAAA
rnacentral:lncRNA from 1 species